AUGAUGUGCGCUGCCAAGAAGUGUGGCAUCUGAUUUUAGCCUCCAGCUAGCAUCUUAAUCUACGAGAAUGAAAUUCAAGGGGAGAAUUCGCUCGCGCAUUCUGCCAGUUCAAAAUUUUUCAAAGUUUUCAGGUUGCACGCAAGCGGCUGAACAGCUAAAGAAUAACCUACGACACGAGAGUUACCCGUAACAAGGAUUCCCGAGGCAGCUAGAGAAGCUAUCCGGUUUUUUACAAGGUUACCUGUGGAGGCAGAGUUGGGCAGAAACAAUGGGACAAAUUGGACCGGAAACAACCAUUGAUCCUGGAAAAGACCUGAACACACUGGAUGACAAGGAGCUUGCCAAAAGGAAGAGCAUCAUGGAUGAACUUUUUGAGAAAAAUCAGAAGAAUGAUCCAAAUUUUGUUUACAACAUUGAGGUCAAAAUCCCACAGGAUGAACAGCUGCAGUCCUGUGGCUGGGACACAGUCAGCUCAUAAGUUCUGA
rnacentral:lncRNA from 1 species